CGCCACCAGGGAAGCCCAUAUCUUAAUAUUUUUUAUUCCCUUCCUGUGCGGAAAAAAAGGUGCUGUAUCUGAAGAUCUGUGGGCUUUUGUACAGGGUGAGCGUGUGCUCAUGUACACACGUGGGGCACAGCUGAGGAUUAUGUAACAAAACUGUUCCGAGUACAGUUGGCUGAUACUGAAGGCAACUCCAAAUUUGGCAACUCCAAAUUUCAUCGCAGGUCGAAAGAAUACAGCUCAAGGUGGUAUUAUGAAGCAGAUCUAUUUGGCAUCUGUAAGGCAUUGGAAGUUGCAACUCUUGUGGAAGGAUCUAAUACCAUGAUCAGAAGAACUUUGGAUAUGUCUUUUCACUGUGACAUUGUGGUAUACGCUUGACAAGUUUUGCAAAGAGAUUUUUUUUUUUUUUUUUUGCGGUAAGCGGGCCUCUCACUGUUGUGGCCUCUUGCCGUUGCGGAGCACAGGCUCCGGACGCACAGGCUCA